CUGGCGCCAAUAGUUGCCGUAGGGGGAGAAGACGAUGUCGGUGCAGCCGUAGAAGAGCUGCUUCGCGGCGUGGAGCUGGGGCCGGCUCGAGAGGGGAAGGUCGUGGGUGCGGAGGACUUCCUUGGCGGUUCUCGCGGAGGAGACGAUGACGGUGGGGAUGUGGCCGAGGGUGAGGUGGAAGAUGGGGCCGUACUUAUGAGCCAGGCGUUGGAGGGAGAGGUGGGGCAUGCGGCCGAGCUGGUGGAGGUUGCCGACGAUGGGGAGCGGCGGAGGACCGGGCGGAAGAUUGGUCUGCCGUUUCUUUGGUAGAUGAGUUCUAACCAACAUGAGAACUACUAGUGCUGUAGAUGCUAGAAUCAAGACCGCGGAUGGCCAUUCCAGGAGAGCCAUGAAGAUUCCCCCCGUUGAGGUGAAACACAGAGGAAAGAAUUAUAAAUACGAUGAAGUGGAGUUUGGGUUGGUGAAGUGAUUGAUCUCACAUCUGUAACAAUUUUAUAAUUAAAAAUAUAUUUCUAUACUUGUCUCAUAUGCAUCUCAGAUCGGGUAAAAUAGAUGAGAUAGAUCAUGAGAAUCGGAUCUAAUAUUGAUUCAAAUAGGCUGCCGUGAUUUUUGUAGAAUAUAUAUUUUUUAAGUUCAAUAAUAAUAAUUUUUGAAGUAAAAGAGGGAGGAGGAGAGAGACAAUCAAGAUGAACAAGACUGUGCGCUAUCAUCUAUCGAGUGAAUCAAAGAAGAGUGAAUUAAAAUUAUUUUAUAUCUAAUUGGGUUUCGAAUGGGUUAUACUAUCAUCUGCAUCCUAUCCGAACCCGCUUUGAAAUCCAUGCUCGCCUCAAGUUUAAAUGAGUUAGGUAAAUUUUGUCCCAUUGAAGUUGGAUCGGAUUGGGUAUCCGAAAGGCGGGUUAAAAUUGUCACCUUCAAGUUCGAGGCUCGAGGGGACGAGGACAAAGGCCCAUUGUCGUCACGUUUGACUUUUGAUAAUGGGAGGGGAACUUUUGGGGAAAGGAUUUGUGGAUGAGGCUGGGCAAAUUGACAGCACCCUUUGUGGAGGGGUACGGUCCACUAGAUGAGAGAGAUAAUAAUCCCAUCAUGUACCGGAUAUGCGUGCAUAGAAUUAUUUGGUAAGAGAGUCUGAAUGCGACCAAAUUAACUGGUUGGUAGCUAUGGUCGCGGAGCUACGGAAUCUUAUGAGGCAGGGUUGUAACUUUCAACGGGAAGGAGGAAUCAUCUUUUCUUUGCACAAAUUUACCGUUAGGUAGGCUGUAUAAAGAUUGCUUCAAAAUUCAUAGUGGUUGAAUAAAUUCAAAGUUUUGACCCAAAAAAAAAAAAUCAAAGUGACCUAUGAAAAAUAUAAUCCAACCAUCGGUGUCGUAAAAAAAAAAAAAAAAUUAAUCAUUAUUUUAUGCAAAACGUGCAACCCGAACCCCGCCAACAGUAUGGACCAAUUGUGUACUAGAAAUUUUUCAAUUUUUAUUGAUGUUGACAAAUAUAUUUUCCAACAAUUUUCUAGUGGAAACAAAAAAUAAUAAUAAAAGAAAGGUAAGGGCAGAGAGCCGUCACAGUCUUAAUUUGUCUUCAUAUUACUAUCAUUAUCAUAUCACAGACCAUGUGCAAUGGCAUCCGAUGGAAAGCUCCCAGAUAAAGGAAUUACGUUUUACCAAAAAGAGAAGCACAGUGAAUAAAAGCAAUUGUGAUUAAUUAGGAAGCAAUAUGGUGAGCCAUGGCAAAAGGGCAUAGUGACGAGUUGGUAUUUUGGAUUACUAGCCUAAUCUUCUGAAGGCAUACAAUUGGGGAAAAGUUCUAUAAAAAAGUCCAAGGAGGAGUAUUAGAGAGGAUUUCGUUAUGAGGUGCCAAUUGUAUGAGAAAAUUCAUAGGCAUCAGAAGUUAUUAAAAAUCCUUGAACUAUUGCUGGUCUUCCUCUUAGUCAAAUGAUUCUUUGAAUUCUUGUACACAAUUAAAUCAAUGCAGAAUUCUUGUACACUAUUCAUUGGUUAUUUGUGCUAAUUUAAGAAAUUUUUAUGCUAUAUUUGUUGUUUGUACUACUGUUUUUGCUAUCAGUUAAGUGGCUUUCCCAUAUUUAUAUUAUGCAAAUAAAUACAAUGAUAGCUCAGAAAGCACUUGUAAUAAGUUUUGAUUGGUUGUAGGUAUAACUAUAACAACUCCAUAAAACAUUAAUCAAGAUUCUCUACAGUACGGCCCGUGCACCGCAGAGUGUUGUGCAUCUCUAAAUGGCAACCAUCAGGAGAUGAAUGGCCACUAAACAACAUGCGCUGUGUAUGAAAAGAUACACACUUAUGGACUACCUUGUUUGAUAGCUGUCUAUCUCUUGAUGGCGGCCAUCCAUGACCUACAGUACUCUGCAGUGCCACAUGCACACUGUAGGGACCCGUGUUCAUAAAACAUACUCAUUUUUAUCUUAUGACCCACGGAAUAGCAUGGCCAACUCUGCUUCCAUAUAAUCAAGACAUCUCUAGACUCCUACGUGUUGCAGGGCAAGCUUAUAGGCAAUCUACAGCUCAUAAAGUGCCUACUUCAUUUUUCAUUGGACAAUACCUAACCUGCAGUAAUAUGGUGCAAGUUGAGCUAGUUUAGCAAAACCUGACUUGACUUGAUUGGGUUGGGCCAAUAUAAACCUAACUGUUGGGUUUUGCUAGGGUUCGAAAUUGUCGUCACAACUUCAAGGUAGGGGAAGUUUGGGUUGAAAGUUUGGCAGCCAGGAUCCAAACCAAAUUUCUACAUUAUAGUAUUUAAACCAACCCAAUUCAAGCUUCUUGUUGUCUUAUUCUAAACAAACCUGAGAGGUAUAGAUUUCUGGAUCGAAUAUUGCUUGUAUUGACUUGAUCUAACUUGACCUAAACAUAUCCAGCCUAAACUGUGUUUGGGUUGAAAAUUUAAAGUUGGAUCAGGUUGGGGCAUUAUUAUUCGGUUGGGUUUGGAUUGGAUAUUUCUCUUAACCAAGUUUGGAUUGGGUCGGUACAUGUUUCAAGUAACCAACAAACUCAAGAACACCAAGGUAGGUCUGCGGAGGUGGAACAACAGAUCGGUUGGAAACGUUCAUGUGAGAUUAUAGAAUUUGGAGGCAGAGCUGGUUGAGCUUUAAUCAAAGAAAGCAAAUUCUGGAGGUCCAUAGCGCUCUACUACUUCUUACUAAAUUGGCUGAGUAUAAUAGGUUCUUGAGAUAGCAAAAGAUAUUUUGUGUUGCACCCCCAACCUGAAAUCACGAGCCAGAGAUUGCGGCAACCACCGCAUACUCAUAAAAAACUCUUUCUAUAAGCAUGCAAGGCAUCUCAUCCGGAUAUAAUAAACAAGCAGCGGAAUAAAUUUAAAUAAUCAAUAUUAAAAUUUUAAUUUAAAUAAUUAGAAUCCUAUAUUAAUAUCUCACGAAACCAACAAUGUUUUAAAAAAAUUACAUCAAACUCUAGUCAAACCCUGAUCUAAAUUAAAAAUAUUAAAUUCAGCCUCUAGUCACUCUCUCGAUCAUAAUCUCGUGCCAUUUUAGUUUUCAGAUCUAUAAAAACAGUAAGAUAUAAAGUAAUAAAUUAGAUAGCCCAGUAAGUAAUGAACACUUUAACUAAAAUAAUUAGGCAAUAAAUUAUAAAAUUAUUUAAAAAAAUAAGCAAAUGUAGUUCAUUAAUUCAAAACCAAAUUCAAGUAUGUAGAUUUAUCAAAACAUUGUCCAUGCCAAAUUCCAUCUUUCUCAAAAUCAAAUUUUGUUUAUAAAUUCAAAUUCUUUCAAAUCACCAUGUUUAUCCCAUCAACCAUGAACUAUGACCACAUUUUUUCUGUGGCAGAUCAUGAUAUUGCAUGUCUUCUUGCGGUGUCUGCAUAUCAUCUUACGGUAAAGUCCUUCAGGACUACGUAUCUGCUUGUGGUAUGUCGCGCAUCUUCUUGUGACAUAAAUCUUUCAGGACAAAUCAAGUGCCAAUGUAUUAGCCCCCAUUGGUAGGGUCCUUAACAUGUCAGGCUAAAAGUUCAAAACAAUCAUGCAGUUCAUAUCUCACUUCAACAAAAAUAUAACAAAUCAUAAGAUAUCGAAAUCAAUUGAACAAGUUCGAUAUUUCCAAGCAUGCAUUAUCAUAAUAUUCCAAAAUAAAGCAUAUUUAGUAAUAAAAUAUCAUUCAUCAAAUUCAUACAACAUGAAUAAUAUGAUUUAAUAUAAUAAUCUUAUAAUUUUUCGAUAAAUCUAGAAAAAGGAUUAUAUUACUUACUUUGUGAGUGAAACCGGACUAUAUAUUCAAUUAAUUUCUAAAAUUUCUCUGAGAAUCUAAGACUCUAGCAAACGCUCAAUUGAAAUCUUCAGUGAGUACCGUGAGCCAAGAGUGUUGGAAGUCAAGAGGAGAAGAAGGGACCGACGAUGAUCUAGCGAUAAUGAUCUGUAGGCUCAAGUGUGGCGCAUCCAAAGGAAGACCAGUUGAAAAUUCAGUUUCUGCAAGGCUGGGGUCGAUUCAUGGAAAGCUGGGGUCGACCCAUGAAGAGCUGGAGUCGACCCCAGUGAAGGAAGGGUCGACCCAAAGAAGUCACAGGGAGACGACAGAAAGCACUUCUCUGUCGGUCUCAAGUGGGGUCGACCCCUAACAGUCCGGGGUCAACCCCUAGGGUCGACCCCAGUGAAGGAAGGGUCGACCCCAGGAAGUCACAGGGAGACAAUAGAGAGCUGUUCUCUGUCGUCUUAGGAGGGGUCGACCCCUGUCUGCAAGGGAUCAACCCCUGAAGUAUAGGGGUCGACCCCUGAUCUGCAGGGGUCGACUCCAGCGCUGUGCCAGGCGUGCCAUUCAGUCAAUAACGGAAAUUUUUGGUCUUUGACUGGCUUAGGGACUUCAUGAUUUAAGUUUAUAAGGGUCUAAGUCAUUCUUGGGCUAGGUUUAGACUCAAGAAGAGAGUAUGUAAGUCACGGACUUGGAUUGAGUGCUUUCUAAUGUGGCUUAGGGGGAGAUUGUGUUGGCUUGGGAUUAGACUAAAAUUGGGAGCCUAUAUAAAGACUUGAUGUAAUCAGUUUUAGGGUUGAGAGAGAGGGUCACUUGUAUUAUUUUCUGGAGAAAUAAGAGCCACCAGAAAACUUCUCCCACAUUCUCUCUUCUCUUCCUCUUUUUCUCCACGAAAAUCCUAGUUUGUGAUUGUGGUUCUUCAUCUCUUCUUCCUUCUUUCUCCACGCAGCCUGACGCCCUAGGGGACGCCCUAGGUUAGCGGUUAUCAGGGAUCCACACGCUUCCACACAGCGCCAACAAUUGGUAUCAGAUCGAGGUUUUGGCGUGGGAAAGAAGAAACGAAGGAAAGACAUCAAGAGGAAAGCAGUCCGCUCAUCUCCCUUCAAGGUGAUUUCUCAAAUCAGAUUUGUGUUUAUUUGUGAUUGUAGUCAGGCCAACCAUGAACAAUAACAUGAAGGUGGAGUUUAAGAAGUUUAAUGGGAAGGAAAGCUUCUCUAUGUGGAAGGUCCGGGUGGAGGAUCUCUUGGUGAAGAAUUAUUUGGAUUCGGCCUUGGAGGACAGGCCGAAGGGUAUAACAGAUAAGGAAUGAUUUUCUUUGGAGAAAAGGGCUUGCGCUGCCAUCAGAGAAUGCUUAGCAGAUUCAGUCUUAUACAGCAUCCUAGAGGAGAAGACACCCAAGGGAUUAUGGACAAAGUUGCAUACCAUGUAUAUGGAAAAGAAUAUGUGCAACAAGCUGAUGUUGAAGAAAUAAUUGUACAGCCUUCGGAUGCAUGAAGGUGGAGAUAUUGUUCUUCAUAUUCAGUGGUUUGACCAGGUUUGCAAUGACUUGCAGACCUUUGGGGUGAAGAUGGAAGAGGAGGAUAAAUCUCUACUCUUGCUUUGCUCGCUGCCAGGUUCUUAUGAUCCUUUGGUAAUUACUUUGCUGUAUGGGAAGGAGACGCUGAAUUAUGAAGACAUAAUUUCUGUGCUAAGAUCCAAUGAGCAAAGGAAAAGAUUGACAAAGGAUGGAGUUCCUCAAGAAGGUCUUACUGUCGGAGAGAGGCCUGGGAGAGGGAAAGAAUGCAGCAAGCAAAAAGGAUGGUCAAAGUCCAGAAAAGGUAAGAAAGAGUUCAGAUGCUACAAGUGCAAUGAAGUAGGACACUUGAAGCGAAAUUGUCCGCUUUGGAAGAAGCAUCAGGAAGAGAAGAAUGGCAAGGAUUAAGUCAGUGUCGUGGCUGAUCUCAAGGUGGACGAUGACCUUUUGUAGUUUCGGAUGAUCACAGGAACAACACGGAUAUCUGGACAAUGGAUUCAGCCUGCUCUCAUCAUUACACACCAAAACGGUCUUGGUUUGCUACAUACACCAAAAUCGAUGAGGAGAGUGUGACACUAGGAGAUGAUCAUCCUUGCAAGGUGGCCGGCAUUGAGACCAUCAAGGUGAGGAUAUUUGAUGGGAUGGUGCGGACUCUUACCAAUGUAAAGCACGUCCCGAAUCUGAAAAAGAAUCUAAUGUCACUUAGCUACUUGGAGAAGAAUGGUUACAACUUUAGUUGCUAUUCCAGGAGUGGUAUUUUGAAUAUAUCCACAGGAGCCAUGGUUGUGAUGAAGGGGAGGAGGUUGGAGAAUAAUUUAUACAGGAUGGAAGGGUCCGUGGUGUGUGGGGGACCCGAAACAGCAGCAGUGGCACAGGGCCAGCAGGAAGCAUAACGGUUGUGGCAUUACCGCCUUGGCUAUAUGGGAGAUCAUGGUAUGAAGAUGCUGAGCAAAGAUGGACUGAUAUCAGAUCUGGAUGGAGGAGUUUCAGAGAUGUGUGAGCCUUGCCAGUUAGGAAAGCAACACAAGGUGAAGUUUUCCAUCAGUACUACACGCAACGAAGGUACCCUGGAGCUAGUGCACACGGAUGUUUGGGGACCGGCCCCGGUCACAGCUAGUAAUGGGGCAAGAUAUUUUCUAACCCUUAUUGAUGACUUUUCAAGGAGAGUUUGGGUGUACUUCUUGAGAAAAAAGUCAGAGGUCUUCUCUAAGUUCAAAGCCUGGAGGGCAGAGGUAGAGAAGGAGAAGGGAUGCUGCAUGAAGUGUGUGCGGUUCGACAAUGGUGGCGAAUUCACAAGUAAGGAGUUUCUGAAAUUUUGCGAAGAUUGUGGGAUCAAGAGGCAAUUUUCAGUAAGGAAGACUCCUCAAUAUAAUGGGGUGGCCGAAAGAAUGAACAGGACUCUCAUGGAGAAAGCUAGAUGUAUGAGAUUGCAGACAGGGCUUCCCAAGGUGUUUUGGGUGGAUACAGUAGACACAGCCUGCUACUUGGUGAAUCGAUCUCCUCAUACAAAGCUAGAUGGGAGGAUUCCAGAGGAGCUAUGGUCUGGAAAAAAAGGUGGAGGUUGGUCAUCUUAGAGUAUUUGGGUGCACGGCAUUUGUGCAUAUAGAUCCCAGUGAGCGGAGCAAGUUGGAUGCCAAGUCACGAAAGAUGGUGUUCAUAGGAUAUCUGCGUGGAGUCAAGGGUUAUCGACUGUGGGAUCCGUUGAAGAAGAAGACAACUAUCAGUAGGGAUGUGGUCUUUGAUGAGAAUUCUUCCUAAAGAUGCAAAAGGUGGAAGAAGAGCGGGGGGAGAACCAACCGGACAGGAUUGGACAGUUAACUUCUUAUUCAGUUUUACCUUUUGUAGGUGCACCAGAAGGACAUGAAAUUCAGGUGGAGCACCAGUUAGAGGUGCCUCCACAUGUGGAGAGGAGCGAGAUGCUAACUCGAAGACGAGAUGUGCAAAGGGAAGAACAAGAUCCCAGCAGAAGCAUCGGAGUCGCACUGCACAAGCCUAAGCGGAUUGUGUGGCAGCCGGAGAGGUAUGGUUUUGGCGAAACCAUGUCUUAUGCAUUGGUUGCUGUGAAUGGAGACCCGAAGACCUAUGAGGAGGCAUUGGCACACCAGGAUAGCGAUAGGUGGGUCCAAGCUAUGGUAGAGGAGAUGCAGUCUCUUCAGAAAAAUCAGACUCGGCGGUUGGUGCAGUUGUCAAGUGAAAAAAAGCCCAUGGGAUGCAAGUGGGUGUUCCAAUGCAAGGAAGGACUUUCAGAUAGAGAAGGCAUCACAGAAGCUGCCAAGAAAGCUCUAUGGCUGAAAGGAUUGGCAUUGAAAAUGAGAUUUGCACAGAAGGCUGUCAGGGUGCAUUGUGAUAGCCAGAGUGCAUUAUCUUUGGUUCAGAACUCGAUCUAUCAUGUGAGGACCAAACAUAUUAACAUCAGGUACCACAGGAUUAGAAAAUUGGUGGAAGAACGUGAAGUGGAGCUAGCCAAAUUUCAUAUGAAGGAGAACUUGACAAAUGCACUGACCAAGACUCUUCCAAGGGAUGGCUUCCUCAGGCGUGUGGCGCUGAUGAGAUUGAUGGACCAGGAGAAGCUUGCAGAGGCUUUAGAGCGCCAAGGUGGAGAUUGUAGGCUCAAGUGUGGUGCAUCCAAAGGAAGACCAGCUAAAAAUUCAGUUUUUGUAAGGCUAGGGUCGACUCAUGGAAAGCUGGGGGGUCGACCCAUGAAGAGCUGGGGUCCACCCCAGUGAAGGAAGGGUCGACCCCAAGAAGUCACAGGGAGACGAUAGAGAGCACUUUUCUGUCGGUCUUAGGUGGGGUCGAUCCCUGACUGUUAGGGGUCGACCCCAGUGAAGGAAGGAUCGACUCCAGAAAGUCACAGGGAGACGACAGAGAGCUGUUCUCUGUCAUCUUAGGAGGGGUCGACACCUAUCUGUGAGAGGUCGACUCCAGUGCUGUGCCAGGCAUGCCAUUCAAUCAAUAACGAAAAUUUUUGGUCUUUGACUGGCUUAGGGAUUUCAUGAUUUAAGUUUCUAAGGGUCUAAGUCAUUCUUGGGCUAGGUUUAGACUCAAGGGGAGAGAGCAUGUAAGUCAUGGACUUGUAUUGAGUGCUUUCUAAUGUGACUUAGGAGGAGAUUGAGUUGGCUUGGGAUUAGACUAAAAUUGGGAGCCUAUAUAAAGGCUUGAUAUAAUCAGUUUUAGGGUUGAGAGAGAGGGUCACUUGUAUUAUUUCCUGGAGAAAUAAGAGCCGCCAGAAAACUUCUCCCACGUUCUCUCUUCUCUUCCUCUUCUUCUCCACAAAAACCCUAGUUUGUGAUUGUGGUUCUUCAUCUCUUCUUUUUUCUUUCUCCAUGCGGCCUGACGCCCUAGAGGACGCUCUAGGUUAGCGGUUAUCAGGGAUCCACACGCUUCCGCACAGCGCCAACAUGAUCGACAAAACAUGUCGGUGGUGAGGCGAAAGGGGAUGUCGGGGUCUAGCAAUGAUGCUUGGCAAAACUUUGUUAGCAGAUGGAACCAGGACCCACCCACAGUACCACCUAGUCUCCCACCUCCGAGAAAUAAAUUGGAUAAAGAAGACAGACAAUGGCUCUUAGCAGAAAUUACUGGAAGUUAUGGCACCUCUAAAAUAUAUGGAUUCCAACGGAUCUCAUGGGCCUGAUGGUUUCUCACUUGGUCUCUGCAACGGUUAUUGGAAUAUCAUUGGCAUGGAUAUUUGCAAAGCUAUCAAAGAGUGCUUUAUAAGAAGUCCAACGCCAGAGGCAUGGAAGACAACUUUUGUCAAACGCCUACCGUGCGAAAUCAUUAGAGACCUGUAGUCUAUGUAAUACAAUGUACAACUUGGUGGCUAAAAUUCUUGCAAUUUGCCUAAGAAACAAUCCUUAGUUUUAAAAGAGAAGAAUGAUUUUAUAGAAUUAUCUCUAAAUAUUUUGAUUAUAAUGCUAUAUCUUCCGAUUAGAGAAUGUGGUGCUAUGAUCUCUAAUUGAGUUAUCCAAUGGAUCAAAUAUAAAUGGAAUUACUUGGUUCAAGUGAGGGAUUCCUGAUGCUUUGCUGCCGUUAAUUCUGGUUACAUCUUUUCAUUACUAUAAUCUGAUUUUAAUUUAUUUUUAAACAUUCACAUCAUGUUUUACUGUUUUGAUAUUUCUUCUUAGUUUUGUAGUUUCUUUUAGUGUUUCUACCUUCUCCCUAUGAAAUCGACCUCCCAAUCUAUAUUGUGACAGCUGCAUUAUUCUUUGGGCGUAAUCAAGCCACCAUCCUAUUUUUUUCGGUUAAUUCCAUAGAGCUUGGGGAAGAGGGUUUGCAGAGAAGCAUCACAAAUCCAACAAUCUUUCCAAAAGGGUGUUCCCUCACCAUUGCCAAUUUGAAAUUUUGCUCUAGUCCAUAAUACGAGUAAAGCAUUAACUGCAUCUCUCCAUAAAUUAGAACAAUUUUUACUUGGCCUCUAAUUCAUAGAUAGCUUCACCUUUUUAUGAUAAGUAAAAUGCAUCUGACUUUUCCAAAUGUCUGAAUCAUUUGUAAGAUAUCUCCACCCCCAUUUGCCAAGUAAUGCUUGAUUAAGCUAACUAAUGUUCUUGACAUCUAAACCCCCCUCUUCCUUUCCAAGACAAACAGUGCUCCAAUUUACUUUGCAGGAGGCUUCUUUACCAUUCUUAUCACCACUCCUUAAGAAGGAUCUUCUAUAUCUUUCAAUUCUUUUGACGACCCAAACCGGUAAUUUAAAAAUGGACAUGAAAUAGAGGGGAAGGGCAGUGAGUACAAAAUUAGUGAGGAUUAUUUUUUCUCCAAAAAAAGAGGUAUUUACCCUUGUCGCUAAUCUAGCUUCAAUUCACUUCAAAAAUGACAACCAAUCUCUCUUUGCAAGCCUACCACUACAUAGUGGUAAACCAAGAUACUGAAGUAGAAGGGGGGCAAAAGAGCAGUGAAGCCAUUUAGCACAAUCGUAUGCCAUGUUAUAGUCCAGACCAAUAGGCUAUAUAGAGCUCUCUUUGUAAUUGAUAGACAAUCCAGAAGUAAGCUCAAAAUAGUAUAGGAUUCACUACAGAAAAAAGUGGCUUUUCCAACAAUAAUCCACCGAUGCUAUACAAAAGCAUCGCUAAUUUAGUCACCGCGCCGCCAAAUUUUGGCAACGCGGGCAGGUAGCGUUGGUAUAUUACAAUGCUUAAAAGUGUCGGGAGUGGAAAGAUAGCUAUAACGACACUUAUAAGCGUCGUCAAAAGCCUAAGUUAAUAUGACGCUUUUUAAAACAAUCGUCGGAAGCCUUAGUGCGCUAAGGCAACGCUUUAGAAAGUAUCGUUGGAGGCCUAAUCGUCCUCCUAGGACGACGCUUUAAAAAACAUUGUCAGUAGUCUAUCUCGCCCCAAAGUCAACGUUUUAGAAAAUAUCGUCCGGGGCCUAAUCGCCCCUAAAACGACGCUUUACAAAGUGUCGUCAGAGGCCAAUUCCCCCCAUGAUGCUUUAGAAAGCAUUAUCGGAGGGCAAUUGCCCCCCCCCCCCCCCUCCCAAAUAAAUUUCUAAUCAUCUCAAAAUCCCUAACCCCUUCCCAAACCAUUCCGACCCAGCCCCCCCUACAAAUCCCUAACAUCUCUACUCCUCAAUGCCCUCCUUAUUCUCCUCCUCUUCCUCCUUCGUCUUCAGGGGUUGUGGAAGGGCGCCGUCAGGCGAGGGAGGAGGGCACUGAUGGUGAGGUCAUCGAGCCAAGAGAUGGCACUUGGACUAGAGUUUAUUCAUUAGCAUAAACUAUUUCAAAAAUGGACUCAAGUUUAUGGUCAAAUCAAAAUUAUUUAAAUUUUAAUUUCAAACAAAUCAGAUUGGGUUGGGCUAGAAUUUCGAAAACCUAGACUCGGCUCCGAAAAUAAAUUGGGUCUAAUUUUAGAACUCAACCCGGCCCCACGGAUCGUUUAAAAAAGAUCGGACUGGGUUUACUCAGGUCGGGUCAUGGGUCAACGUGACCCAUUUGCACCUCUACUAGUUUUAGAGAGAAAAGAGAGAGAGAGAGGUGAUGGCGAGCUCGGUCGGGAGGAGAUGGCUGAGCUAACAACUACAAAUUAUGUGAUUUCAUCAGGCCUCUCAAUGCCGAUAUGAGAGAAUCAUCAUUUCCAUAUGGUUAGACCGAGCAUUCUUCCUGAAGGGUAGCUACACGCUUAUAGCCAAAGUGCAUCCACAUUGUGUUCAGAAACUGACAAUUCAGAACCAACCAUCAACUGUUUCCUUCUGUCUCUCGAAGUGAGAACAUCCCUGCGUUGCAGGCCAUCUUUUUCCUUCUUCCUUUUGGGUCUUUCUCAUAUGGCAAAAGAUGUUGGUCCAAUAGAACUCCAAAAGAAUUGGACAAUUUGCUCAAUAUAUAACUAAUUGGACUGACACCUUAUGGUUUGUAGGCUUCCAUCUCAUUUGUGCAUACCUUGCUGAUCCUAUCAGCACACUGCCAGUAGCUAUCUUUCUAUUCUACCUCCCAUUAGAGAAAUCAAAUAUGGAUGAGGAUGUUAAUAUAUCAAGUUUAUCAGCUUCGAUGAGAUUUAUAUAUAGAUGCACAAAGCAUUAGUUAUGACAUUGCCAACCUACUUACACCACCAAAGGUAUCUCUUUGGUAUCAGCUAUAUAGCCUUGUAUGUAGAGGUCUCUCAGAUGAUACUAUGAGGUUUGGCAACAGCAACCAGUUCAGCUAUCCUAUGCAUGGUUAUCCCAAAGGCUUCCUUCAUAUCCAGAUAUUCAGGUUUAACGCCAUGAGGAAGCUCCCAGUCAAAGCUGUGCAGAAGCUGCGCCAAUGCAAUUUCGAUACUAGCCAUGCCGAAUGUGAUGGCCGGGCAUCCUCUUCUCCCGGCCCCGAAAGGUAAAAGCUCGAAAUCCUGCCCUUUGAAAUCAAUGGAGCUAUCCAAAAAUCUCUCUGGCUCGAAGACUUGUGGAUUUUUCCAUGAUUCAGGGUCCCUUCCGAUCGCCCAAGCAUUGACGAAUAUUCGCGUCUUGGCCGGAAUUUGAUAUCCAUCUAUGGUUACUUCUUCCAUGGAUUCUCUUGGGACAAGAAGUGGAGCUGGAGGGUGCAUUCGGAAUAUCUCCUUUAUCACCGCCUUUAGGUAAUGUAAGUGGGGGAGAUCACCCUCGGACACUGUUCUUCUCUCACCAACGAUGCUUCGGACUUCAUCUUGGGCUCUCUUCAAGGCUCUUGGAUUCAUUAGCAGCUCUGUCAUACCCCAGUCCAGUGUUAUGAAGGUAGUAUCCGUUCCGGCUGCAAACAUGUCCUGCAAGAAAUUGAAGCACAGGAUUUGGGGUACGAGGAAUCACAAGGAAGUUGGUCAGACAUUGCAUCCGGCUACCUCAAAAACAAUUUUGACAGUACGUGAACCCUUCACCAAAACCACCCUCCCACCCCAGGAGCUAAUAUGGGGAAGCCCAUGCAACAGUUCAAAUAAAAUUGGUCAAAACCGAUCAACUGGAAGCUUGGUAUUGAUGAUUUGAACUGUUAGAUAGGGUCUACUAUUUCUAAAUUAUGUACUGACAAAAUAUCAUGUGAUUUAUAGAUAUGCAUCCAGUGAUUAAAAAAAAGCAUAUUCAUAUUAUUAAAACGAUCUAUUUUGGACUAAUAGGUGGAUGAGCGAUGUAUAUGCUAGAGGUCUCUAAAUUGCAUACUUUUUUUAAUUAAUAAGUAAUUUGGAAAUAGCAGACUAUAUCCAACAACUCAAAUCAUUGAUGUAUGUAUCUAUCUAUAUAUAUGUGUCUAUGUGUGUGUCUAUCUAUAAAUAUACGUACGUAUGUUUGUAUGUACACAAAAGUUAGGGACUCUUACUAGUGGAGUUUCCAUGAUUAAAAAAUUAAAAAAGAAAGGAAAUCGCAUGCAACAUCCUCUUUCUUCUUCAUUAUUGAUUUUAAAAAUUUUAAACUAUAUGUACUGAUUUAUUCAAGCACUCCAAAAAUAAGUAAUGAUUGAAGCAGAAGCUUGGUCGAAUAAAAAUAAAACUGGAAAUAAAAUAGACCUUAUGACUAAUUAUGUGGAAACUAUAUAUGUUACGGAAUGUUUUGUUGGAUUAUUUUUUUAUAUAUAUUUUAUUUUCUUAUUCAUACGGAUAUUUUUUUUUAAAAAUGGUAUGAAUAAAUUUUAAUUUUAUUUAAAAAUAAAUAAAUAAAUAAAUAAAAUAGACCAAAUGUAAAAGCUAGAGUUGAGGUCUCACUAGCAAAUAAACUAUAUGUAUUGAUUUGUUUGAGCACUCCAAAAAUAAAGAAUGAUUGAAGCUAGCAGAAGCUCGAUCAAAUAAAAAUAAAAUCAGAAAUAAAAUAGACCUAAUGGCUAAUUAUGCAGAAGCUAUGUCGUGGAUUGCAGUGUUGGAUUUUUUUUAUUUUUUAUAUAUUUUACUUAUGAUUCAUAUGGAUAUAUUUUUUCUAAAUUUGUGAAAUAAAUUUUAAUUUUAUUUAAAAAUAAAUAAAUAGAUAAAUAAAUAAAAUGGACCAAAUGAGGAAGCUAGAGCUGAGGUCUCACGCACCAAGAUGAUGGCUUUAACGUUAUCCAUGGUGAGAGGCAUCUCCAGGCUCCCAUCCUUGUGGAUGUCAAGCAAGACAUCCACCAGAUCCUUGUCCUCCUCGCUCCGCUUCCUCCUCUUCCUAUGCUCCUCUAUAAUCUCAUCAAAGAAGCAAUCAAAACGUUUGAACGUCCUCGCCAGCCUCCUCUUCAUCCCCGUCACCGCAUUCACCCACUCCAAGGAUGGGUAGAAGUCCGCUAGGCUGAACCCCCCAAGCAAAGCCUGGUACUCCUCCAGCAUCUUCUGAAACCCGUGCCGAUCGUACUCCCCGCCCUCCACAAACUCCCUCCCGAACGCCGCCCGGCACAGCACGCCGUUCGCGUACAACCCCAGAAGCCUGCUCAAGUUCACGGCGCCACCCGGGCCCGACGAGGCGGCGGCGAUCCGCCUCACAAGCUGGUCGACCUCCGCGGCUCUCGCGGGGCGGUACGACUCCACGCGCCUGGCGCUCAGGAGUUCGAGGGUGCAGAUCUUGCGGACCUGGCGCCAAUAGUUGCCGUAGGGGGAGAAGGCGAUGUCGGUGCAGCCGUAGAAGAGCUGCUUCGCGGCGUGGAGCUGGGGCCGGCUCGAGAGGGGAAGGUCGUGGGUGCGGAGGACUUCUUUGGCGGUUCUCGCGGAGGAGACGAUGACGGUGGGGAUGUGGCCGAGGGUGAGGUGGAAGAUGGGGCCGUACUUAUGAGCCAGGCGUUGGAGGGAGAGGUGGGGCAUGCGGCCGAGCUGG
rnacentral:lncRNA from 1 species